rnacentral:snRNA from 1 species
GUAUGUUCACACCAAUUUAUGCCAUUAUACUUCUACUCUUUUUUUUUUUUUUUUCUCGAUGAGGACAAACUUCUCCAAUAGAGGAGGAGUGAUCUUCAGUCAAGGGUAUACGAGUAGCUGAGCUCCCCUGCUAGAAACUCCAAACAAGCUCUCCAUUCAUUUUCUGAAGGUACUUUUAAAAGUGAUUUCUAUCAGUGUUUUGCAUAGACUCUGGUUCAGAGUUAUUU